UCAACACUGGUGAGGCCACACCUUGAGUACUGUGUUCAGUUUUUGACCCCUCGCUGCAAGAAAGGCAUCGAGGCCCUGGAGUGUGUGCAGAGAAGGGCAACUAAGCCGCAACAAGGCCAUCACAGCAUCUAUGAAAGAGUGGAUCACCUCAAACAGUGCAGAUUUUUCAGAAGCAUGGCAUGCAGUCUGGUGCUCAUAACUGGUGAAAAUACAUAGCUAAUGAUGGUUCUCUCUAAACACAAAAUCAGAAGAUUUUAUAAUCAUAGACUGAACCAUUUCCAGCUUCAUCUGCUUACUCAUCCUCCUUCAUUGGCAGAAAAUACAAUAUGCUGAGUUGCUGCUGCUGGAGAAGUGGAAAAAAAUCACCUAUGUGGAAAAAGCUAUCUAGCAUGGGUACAGUUUGGAAGUGCCAUAAGAGGAACGUGUGUUGGCAAAAAAUGAUUCUGCCUGCUAUGGACCAUAUGUGCAUUUAAUUGAGUUUGCAAGUUUCCAGGCAGAAUGCCAAAUGGACAGUCUACCAUCUGAUAAGAGUGGUAAAGUUUUCCCCUUUUGUUCUCUCACAAGCUUUAGGUUCAUACAGAAUCUGAGAAGUCAAAAAAUCUGUACUUUCCCGGGACUGAUACUGGAAUGUGUAAGUCAGCUAAUAAAUAUGUUAGAAAAGACCAGUAUAUCAGAUUUACUUAGAAGCUAUGACUUUAAUUGUAAUACUGAAAAUUAAAUAAAAAAUAUAAAUGUGCCACUCCAGCAGAAUUAUCUGAGUCACAAUUAUCUCUUUGGCUUCCUCUUUUUCUCUAUGAACAGGGAGAUAAAUGAAGUGACUUUCAUGUAUAAGCUACAGGAGCUAGAGUAGGCUCAAAUAAAAAUAAUUAGGUGGGAGAUUUCGCAAAACCAAAGCAGGGUUUGAGGCUGUGUUUGAUCAGGUGCUGCCAGCUAGUUUCCAAAUCCUAAUGUGGCCUGCAACCCCAUGUUCAAGCCAUUAUUAUAUGUUUGCAUUGCUAAACAAAGAAGGUCAGGAUCCAGUUAAAGAGACAGAUGCCUGUUUGCCUCUGUUGCACAGUUAUUAGCUUGCUUCUCAGUUCUGUUUUGGGGUUUCCAGCUUCUUCCUGGGCUUGGGCUUCCUUGGGUUCAUCUGCUGCAGAGCAAUGGGAGACAACGUGUACGCAGCACAGUCAUGAGCCUGUCAGUGUCAUUUGGUCAUGAGGUAUCUUAAUGUAUAGACAUAAAUUACAUGAUCAAACAAAGUAAGACCCUUGACAGAAUUUAUCAUACACCACCCUACAUGUGAAUUUUCCUUGUGGCAUUUCUCCUUCUGGUCAGAAGAGAUCUGUUGAGCCUCAUGGUGAGAACUUGAUGAAACAGCCUAAUGGUUCUCAGUCUUGUUCUGCAGUAUUAAUGACUAAAGGAAUAAAAUUGCCAUAUAGGUGUGAUUUUCACCAUUUUGUUGUCUUGCUACCUUCUCUCUGCUACAGUGUUUUUCACGGGAGAAAAACACACAUUCAAGGACCAAGCUUGGUUCAUGAGAGUCCUUAUUAUUCAUAAUAAAGAAAAUAUAAGGACUGAUUUUUUUUUUUUUUUUUUUUUUUUUUUUUUUUUUUUUGUGUGUGUGUGUGCAGUGAUGGUCAGAUUCUCAAGGUUUGGUUGCCAGUUUAAAGAUUAUUUCCAGGAGCACGUUACAUCUACACUAGAGAACAACAGAUGAAAAAGACCAUAGGUUGAAGAUAACCACACAACUGAACCUAUCCACGACUCUGAGUUUAUUUAAGUUACAUGUCCUUGUUAAUCUGUACUGUUUUAGCUUGAUGUUGUCACUCAGCAUAAGCACAACAAAGGAAUUAUGAAGCUGAGAAGGGAAAUUGCUCCUUGACAGAUUUCAUAACUUGCACGGUGUUCUGUGGUCUGAAAACAGUGAGAAGCAGGGUUCAAAGCACCCUUGGCAUCUGCUUUUUAGAAACACAGUCAACUGCAAUAAACACUCUUGCUACUUGUAGCUACAUGCAUGCAUUCAGGAAAAGAAAAGCUCUAAAAUAGAAGAACAUUAGCCCCCUUGGCUUUAGAUUCUUUUUCCUAAAGCACAAGAACUGUAACAUAAAAACAGUAACAGAACUCUCUAGUGAGACUGAGUAAAAUAAACAUCAAUAGAAAAAAGAAAAAUGCAAUGCCAUUCUGAGAUUAAAUAUUAGCACACGUACAUUUCUUUCAACAUACACUUCUCACUGGAUAUUUGUUAGCCUGUGGCAGCUGUAUGUGGAAGCACAAAUACAGCCAUGCCUUCUCACUUCUUUACACUGUCUACAGAAGUGGGAAUACACAACAGUUUUUUUGUUUUGUUUUGUUUUGUUUUUCCACAGAAAUUUCCAUUGCUUUUGGUUUCUAUAGCACUGUCAAUUUAUUUCAAAACACAUGAAACUAAAUAGCCAUAGUAAAAUCUCAUUUUCACAUAAGUCAUAUUCAUAUAAAUUUCUGCUAUUUAAGAAGAAAAAUGUACCCGGUUCUCUUGUAAGUGGUAUGACUAGGAUAUCCUGCAGUCCAAGUUAGACUGUGGUCAGUCUUUGACAUACAUAGACUCUCAACAGUUCUUCCUAUUAAUUGAUACAGUAACUGAGAAACAGUAAUGAAUAUUCCAAUAAGUAGCUGAGAAAGAGAAAAGACAAAAAAUAAACACGACACACUUUCUAUCAUAUGAUCCAUAAAAAUGACAGAGAAUGGUUUGCUUAGUCAUCUGGUCUCUGUCAAAAUGCUUAUUACUGCAAAAGAAUUUAAAGAACCACACAACUGUGCCUUCUGCAUCAAAAAGAGGACAAAGCAUUUCAUGUGGUAGGUUUAUUUAAAAAUCAGAGAAAUAGAUUAGUCUGCCACAAAUCCCUUUAAGAAUAACCAUUAGGAAACAGAGGAAAAAAACAAAAGAAUUUGAACAAAAGUACACCUCUAUUAUUUUGCUUGUGGAUUUCAUUGGGUGUAGGUAUUUCUCAGAGAUUGCCGAUCAAUUAUAGUAGUAGUUAUCAGUGUAUCAUAAAAUCACAGUCGUACAAUCAUUUGUGCUGGAAGGUGUAGGUGUAGUGAAAAUGCUCAGUCAUGGCUUGAAAGAGUGACUGAGCACCUGGAGGAAGGCAGGGCCAACCCAGGGCAGUUCAGAUACAUGCAGGCCCCCUGAGUGACCGGAAUGGGUGGAGCCAGGAUCCACCUCUUCCCAGAUCUCAUUUAAGGGUUGGCAUUGAAGGUAAGGCUUUUGGGGAUUGCUAUAUAUCUGAGGCCUUCUGAAGGUAAGCAGUGUCUUUCCCUUAUUUUUUGUGCUCAUUGUUGUGUUUGAGUGAAUCCUAACUUGCUGUGGCCUGGAAUCUUGGUGCUCUCUGUCACUGUUGUGCUUACCAUUGUGUUACAGAAGGGACCCUUUAAAGGUCAUCUAGUCCAACUCCCCUGCAGUGAACAGGACCAUCUACAGCUAGAUCAGGUUCCUCAGGGUCCCAUCCAGCCUUUCCUUGAAUGCCUCUGGGGUCAGGGCUUCCACCACCUCUUUGGUCAACCUGUUCUAGUGCUUCAGUAUCCUUAUCACAAAAAACUUCCCUGUUAUAUUCUCUCUAGUUUGCAACCAUUUCCCCUUGUCCUAUCACAACAGAUUCUGCUAAAGAGUCUGCCCCCUUCUUUCUUAUAGUCAUCUUCUAGAUGCUGAAAGGCCCCUGUCACAUAUCCCCAGAGCCAUCUCUGUAAUAGACUAAACAGCUCUAACUCUCUCAGCCUGUUCUUGUUCCAUCCCUUGGAUCAUUUUGUGAUCCCGUCUCUUCUUCCACUGCUGGUCCAUUUUCUUCUUGUUCUCCAGAUUGACCAGUUAGUCUCACUCAGCCGUGCAAGACUUUUGCCUUCCUUUCCUGACUUCCUACACCUGGAGAUGGAGGGCUCUUGUGCCCUAAGAAAAGCUUCCUUAAAGAUCUUCCAGCUCUGUUCCUCUCCCUUUGUCCUUGAGGACAGAUUCCCAGAGGAUUUUGUUAAAUAACUUCCUGAAGAGCAUUCCGAGAUUGAGCAUCCUGGUUUUAAUUUUUCUCUCACAAAUCUCUCAAGAGUGUGAACUCCAUGAGUGCAUAGUCACCGCAGCCUGCAGGCAUCUUCCAAUCCUGAUGUCACCAGUCAGUUCACUUGGAUUGGUGAGUAACAGGUCCAGUAUUGUAUCCCCCUGGGGGAGCUGUCUAUCACUAGGCUCUAGAAGUUGUUCUUGAUGCAUUCCAGGAGCCUCCUGUGUUACCUACCACUAGCUAUAUGGCUUUUCCAG
ensembl:lncRNA